GCUGGGUGUGGUGGCACGCGCCUGUAAUCCCAGCUAUUCAGGAGGCUGAGGCAGGAGAAUCGCUUGAACCCGGGAAGGCGGAGGUUGCAGUGAGCCGAGAUUGCACCACUGCACUCCAGCCUGGGUGACAGAGCGAGACUCUGUCUCCA
rnacentral:SRP_RNA from 1 species